UACGUAGGGGGCAAGCGUUGUCCGGAAUCAUUGGGCGUAAAGAGCGCGUAGGCGGCCCUGUAAGUCCGCUGUGAAAGUCAAGGGCUCAACCCUUGGAUGCCGGUGGAUACUGCAGGGCUAGAGUACGGUAGGGGCGGAGGGAAUUCUCGGUGGAGCGGUGAAAUGCAUAGAUAUCGGGAAGAACACCAACGGCGAAAGCACUCCGCUGGGCCGAAAACUGACACUGACAGACGAGAGCUAGGGGAGCGAAUGGG
rnacentral:rRNA from 1 species